UACGGAAGGCAGCAGUGGGGAAUAUUGCACAAUGGGCGCAAGCCUGAUGCAGCCAUGCCGCGUGUAUGAAGAAGGCCUUCGGGUUGUAAAGUACUUUCAGCGGGGAGGAAGGCGAUGCGGUUAAUAACCGCGUCGAUUGACGUUACCCGCAGAAGAAGCACCGGCUAACUCCGUGCCAGCAGCCGCGGUAAUACGGAGGGUGCAAGCGUUAAUCGGAAUUACUGGGCGUAAAAGCGCACGCAGGCGGUCUGUUAAGUCAGAUGUGAAAUCCCCGGGCUUAACCUGGGAACUGCAUUUUGAAACUGGCAGGCUUGAGUCUUGUAGAGGGGGUAGAAUUCCAGGUGUAGCGGUGAAAUGCGUAGAGAUCUGGAGGAAUACCGGUGGCGAAGGCGGCCCCUGGGACAAAGACUGACGCUCAGGGUGCGAAAGCGUGGGGAGCGAAACAGGAUUAGGAU
rnacentral:rRNA from 1 species